rfam:Grimontia sp. AD028 Contig14, whole genome shotgun sequence.
GACCAUCUCGUGGGGUGCUGACUUCGUCGGCUGAGAUUGCGAACGCUAAACCCAUGUACCUGAACCAGAUAAUGCUGGCGUAGGAAUGAGAUGUCCAAAGCUG